rnacentral:lncRNA from 1 species
CUAGCCUCCCAGCCUACAUCCUUCUCCCGUGCUGGAUGCUUCCUACCCUCGAACAUCGGACUCCAAGUUCUUCAGCUUUGGAUCUCGGACUGGCUCUCCUUGCUCCUCAGCGUGCAGAUGGCUGUUGUGGGACCUUGUGAUCGUCUCCUGCAAUGAUCAAGAGGUCUGCGUGUCAACCCGGGCGCGAGCCUGCACUGCGGAGCAUCCCCCACUGAACGUGCACCGGGCACCAGCUCCUGAGACGCGGCCGUGAGAUCUGCAGCACCUGUCUCCACUUCGAAAGACCCCUGCAGGCUGGAGAACCUCUCGGCAUGGCCAGGGAAGAGAAGCUUCGCAGGAACACUGGCUUCGUGGGCCUCGGGCAGGUGGAAUUCGGAGAAACUGGCCAAAGUGCAACCAUCAAAAUCAAACCUCACAGAAGCGAGGGUCACCCACUCAAUCAUCCACCUUGGCAUCCUCGUGUUGCAAAAUCAAACCCUGAGACUUUACAUUAAAUUUCAUGGGAUCUCAGGUCUCAUACCUUCGACCAAGAA